GAUGAACGCUGGCGGCGUGCCUAAUACAUGCAAGUCGAGCGAACGGACGAGAAGCUUGCUUCUCUGAUGUUAGCGGCGGACGGGUGAGUAACACGUGGAUAACCUACCUAUAAGACUGGGAUAACUUCGGGAAACCGGAGCUAAUACCGGAUAAUAUUUUGAACCGCAUGGUUCAAGAGUGAAAGACGGUCUUGCUGACACUUAUAGAUGGAUACGCGCUGCAUUAGCUAGUUGGUAAGGUAACUGCUUACCAAGGCAACGAUGCAUAGCCGACCUGAGAGCGUGAUCGCACAGACUGGAACUGAGACACGGUCCAGACUCCGACGGGAGGCAGCAGUAGGGAAUCUUCCGGGAUGGGCGAAAGCCUGACGGAGCAACGCCGCGUGAGUGAUGAAGGUCUUCGGAUGGUAAAGCGCUGUAAUUAGGGAGGAACAUAUGUGUAAGUAACUGUGCUCAUCUUGACGGUACCGAAUCAGAAAGCCACGGCUAACUACGUG
rnacentral:rRNA from 1 species